AGUGAACGCUGGCGGUAGGCCUAACACAUGCAAGUCGAACGGCAGCACAGUAAGAGCUUGCUCUUACGGGUGGCGAGUGGCGGACGGGUGAGGAAUACAUCGGAAUCUACUUUUUCGUGGGGGAUAACGUCGGGAAACUUACGCUAAUACCGCAUACGACCUACGGGUGAAAGCAGGGGAUCUUCGGACCUUGCGCGAUUGAAUGAGCCGAUGUCGGAUUAGCUAGUUGGUGGGGUGAAGGCCCACCAUGGCGACGAUCCGUAGCUGGUCUGAGAGGAUGAUCAGCCGCACUGGAACUGAGACACGGUCCAGACUCCUACGGGAGGCAGCAGUGGGGAAUAUUGGACAAUGGGCGCAAGCCUGAUCCAGCCAUGCCGCGUGGGUGAAGAAGGCCUUCGGGUUGUAAAGCCCUUUUGUUGGGAAAGAAAAGCAGCAGGUUAAUACCCCGCUGUUCUGACGGUACCCAAAGAAUAAGCACCGGCUAACUUCGUG
rnacentral:rRNA from 1 species